CUUGUAAAUGAGUAUAUCGUGGUUGUUGUGAAUUGACGAUAACGGCUCUGAGGAAGGCGGCAUUAAUUGGGAUGGCGACGGCGAUGGUAGUGGCAGUUGUGUAUGUAAUUAGUUCCCGCCAUUUUUCGAAGUUUGUGUGUGGUAUCGUUCUUAACUAUAAUAUACACACACAAUCAAAAUUAAUUGACAUAUAGUGCACUUCGCGAGAAAAAAAUUUACUUAGCUGUUUACGGUACACUACCUGCUAAUUAUGUCAUGGUUUUCUCUUCUACUGGGUCGGUUGCGUACUUACAUUUUCGUCUAUGGCACGAUCAGCACUUGGCGACGGCGUCUUUGGUGUAUUAGGUGAGGAGUGUUGAAGGCUCAUGUCGAUAAGCGUUUCGCCGACGUUUUUUAAUUGGAGUUUGACAGCAUUCCGCCUGAAAAGCUGAACAGAAUACUAAGCUUAAUGCUAAAAAAGCGAACUUAACCGAUACAAUGUAUCUCCAAAACCAGACGGUAAUACAACUGAGUCGACGCCAGAAAAGAGGAAAUAUUGUUUAAUUGAUUGGAGAAGAAAAUUUCAUGCAGUAUGUUUAUUCGUUAAAAUUUUUAAAAAUAAAUGACAAACAUAUUAAAAAUUGUGAGAAUUGGUCUCACAUAUUUUUUCGUAGUUCAAGCAAAAUAUAAUGCCGAAAUGCCCUAAAAGCGCCUUUAAAAUUUUUGCCAAAAUUGUAUGUCAAUAUACAACUAUACAAAUGAAGCUACAGAAGUGAUACCAACGUUUUGUGUUUCAAUCUCGCCCAUUCCUGGUUCAAAACAACAUUAACAAACAACUUAAACUUCGCACCCUUUGGAAGCAGUUAACGGUAUUUAUAAGAGUAGGCGCUCAGUGAUGACUGCCUCAACCGCAACACAGAAAUUACAGAUGUGUAUGGGAGACCAUCCUUUAUAUUAUUGCAAGGAAUUCUUGGAAAAGACAGCGUCAGAAAGAUACAACUUGGUCUUAAGCAGUAAGUUGUUCUGAAUUGUUUUAAAGAUCACCAUCAGUCGAGGAUAUGUACAAUUAGAACUUGCCAAAAGUGUCAGCGAAAGCAUAAUACACUAUUGCAUUUCACCACAAAAGAACCAUGAAGGGAGAAGACAACGAUGGAGCAAACUCAGCAGUAGACGGUGGCAUUGGCGAACAGGAGCCAGUCAUACACAAGAGUGCCAUCAAAGUAAAGAAUGGAAGAUAUUGUGACAUUAUGUCUGAACGAGCAAUGCAGAGGUUGGACAUUCAACUGAUUAAAUACCUCUCUGCAUCGAAGGCGUUAGCGCAAGAUCAAGAAUAGCAAAUCACUAAGAUGACUAACAAACAAAUAUCGAAGGCUUUUGUGUUGUCAUCCCUAAUUCCACCGCAAUCAAGCAGAAGUAUCGACGUUUCUUCGCGGCCGAUUCCAGAGAAUAUAUCGUUAGCAUUUCCUUACUUCCACACCACUGGCAAGAUCGACGUAUUGCUUGGAGCAGAGUUUUAGUUCGAACAGUUAUUAUCACAAGAAAUUAGAUGGAGCUCCAUAAACUAAAAAAUACGAAAUCAGAAUGAAUUACUAGUGGAUGAGUCCAGGCGGAUCUCGGAACCAUAACGUGUGCUGUUUUUGAAGAAAGUGAGCAGGAUUUGGAAAACUUGUUCAACCAACAUACAACGUGUUGUUGGCCGAUUGCCAUUUGCCGAUGAUUCAAAGAACAUAUCCGCGAUGUUCGCGAUAUUGAGCGAAUAUCAAAGUUGCAAGCUCCGGUAUGCAUUGACAUCGAGGGGGUUUUUAACAAUGUGCACGUAAUGGCGGGAAUAAACACAAAAAUAAUCA